UCUGGAACUGGCAAGAAAUGGCCAAUGAGAGAGCACACUGCUGGGGAUGGCAGAAAAAUCAAAUCAUGAUGAAGAGGAGACAGACAUACAGGAGGCAUAAAGUGACCUGCUGCUUCUGGGCUGUCCCUGCCCAGACAGGAGAGGUCCUGGAUUCCAGGCCUCCAACUGCUGCCAGUAAAGAACCCUCAGACUGCCUCUUCCUGGAGCCCCAGAGCCAUGAUGACCACUGUGAGAAGCCCCAGCACUGCCCAUGUGGAUGACGGGACAUUGUGGGAAGGUUGACCAGCAGCUGGUUUCUGUCCACUGCGCCGGUUUAUGUUAAUUGCAGAUAUUUUCAUCGUAUUGUGUUACUCCAUCCAUCUUUGUGAACGGGCCGUCUUGUAAAAUUCUUUUAAUUAUGUUAUUUUUUCUUGCCUAUCUUCAUCAUCUACAAUUAUUUAUAAUAUCAUUGUCCUUGUUUCAAAUGCUGGGAAUAAACAUUGUUGUAACA